CGUCAUCGUGCGUUCUGCGACGGUAGCGCGCGCAGCGGUCUUUAGUCUGGUGUUUAACCCUUCCAGCUCAACCUAAGUCCACUGUGAAACUGGGUGACUUGAAUACAGAAGAGGAAAGUGGAAUUCCACGUGUAUCGGUGAAAUGCGUACAUAUGUGGAGGAACACCAGUGGCGAAGGCGACUUUCUGGGCUGUAACUGACGCUGAGGCGCGAAAGCGUGGGGAGCAAACAGGAUUAGAUACCCUGGUAGUCCACGCCGUAAACGAUGAGUGCUAGGUGUUAGGGGUUUUUAUACCCUUGGUGCCCAAAUUAACACAAUAAACACUCCCCCUGGGGAGUACGGUCCCAAAACUGAAACUCAAAGGAAUUUACGGGGACCCCCACAAGCCGUGGAAUAUGUGGUUUAAUUUUAAGCAACGCGAAAAACCUUACCCGGUGUUGACAUCCCUCUGAAACCGCUAAAAAUAACCGCUGCCCUCUGGACAGAAGAUACAGGUGGUGCAUGGUUGUCUUCCCCUCCUGUCUUGAGAUAUUUUGGUUAAAUCCCCCAACGAACCCAAACCAAAAAA
rnacentral:rRNA from 1 species